CCUGCCCACCCAGGCGCUCCGACAGCCAAUCCCGGCGCGUCCCACCAGCGGGCCCCGCCCCCUCAGCCUGCAAACACUGCCCAGGUGUUUCCCGCAUCCCAGGGCUCCUCGUGCGCUGGGCCGACCGCACUCUCCCCAGCUCCUGCAAGCUGGCUUCCCUGCUGGGGAGCGUGGGUUCCUUCCUCCAGAAAAGGGGAGCCGGAGAAGGACUUUAAAACAGGGGUGUCGUUUUCAGAUGUGCGUAUUAGAAAGGUCCCGGUGGCUCCUGCGAGGAGGAGGGACUGUGGGGGCUGGAACUGGAGCUGAGGACGGACGUUCCGAGGCUGUGGAUGCAUUGAGGUGCCUGCAGGAACGGCCCACAGGAAGCUUAGGUUCCCCAGACCGUGGGGUCCCAAGAAUGUAGUGGAAGCUGACGCCAUGAGGCAUAAACAUCUCAUGAAACAACCCAACUCGAUGUUUUUCAUGCGUCCCUUUACCAGCAGUGGCGAUGGGUCAGAAGGAUGUGGACAAGUGGUCUUGAGUUUUUGGUGCUCCUUGUCAUAGCCUAACCAGAGACCUGGGCAGCCAGAGGCAGGAAACCCAGAUGGAGAUGAUGCUUUCUAUGCUGCUACACACAUCAAUAAAAUAAUGUAGAAAAGAGAACACUGCUUACUCUUAGCUCUGCAUCUAUAAAUAAAACUCUAUAAAUUGUUCUUUA